rnacentral:SRP_RNA from 1 species
CGGGCAGGCAUCUCGCCAAUCCGGUCAGGUCCGGAAGGAAGCAGCCGUAACGAGCCCCGCUUGGGUCGUUGUCCAGCCUC